GCAUAUCAAUAAGCGGAGGAAAAGAAACCAACAGGGAUUGCCUUAGUAACGGCGAGUGAAGCGGCAAAAGCUCAAAUUUGAAAUCUGGCGCCUUCGGUGUCCGAGUUGUAAUUUGAAGAAGGUAACUUUGGAGUUGGCUCUUGUCUAUGUUCCUUGGAACAGGACGUCACAGAGGGUGAGAAUCCCGUGCGAUGAGAUGCCCAACUCCAUGUAAAGUGCUUUCGAAGAGUCGAGUUGUUUGGGAAUGCAGCUCUAAGUGGGUGGUAAAUUCCAUCUAAAGCUAAAUAUUGGCGAGAGACCGAUAGCGAACAAGUACAGUGAUGGAAAGAUGAAAAGAACUUUGAAAAGAGAGUGAAAAAGUACGUGAAAUUGUUGAAAGGGAAGGGCUUGAGAUCAGACUUGGUAUUUUGCGAUCCCUUCCUUCUUGGUUGGGUUCCUCGCAGCUUACUGGGCCAGCAUCGGUUUGGAUGGUAGGAUAAUGAUUAAGGAAUGUGGCUCUACUUCGGUGGAGUGUUAUAGCCUUGGUUGAUACUGCCUGUCUAGACCGAGGACUGCGUCUUUUGACUAGGAUGCUGGCAUAAUGAUCUUAAGCCACCCGUCUUGAAACACGGACC
rnacentral:rRNA from 1 species